rnacentral:ncRNA from 1 species
CAAGUAGAGGUUGCGUUGAUCAAGAGUAGCCGCCGGAUGCAUCGGAUGCAGGAGAAGGCAGGCGAAAGGGUGAUACGCCGAAGGGCUGGCGGAUUCCGAUAGGCCGGCGCCUGGGCGCAGGGUAAAUAAUCCUGCGACUGUCAUUGCUGUGUGAGGGAAUGUGCUGAAAAGCAUAGGACUAAUGCAGAGUAAAUGGUGAGCUACU